rnacentral:rRNA from 1 species
GACGAGGGACCCUAGCGUUGUUCGGAAUCAUUGGGCGUAAAGCGGGUGUAGGUGGCUUUGUAAGUCAGGUGUGAAAUCCCUGGGCUCAACCCAGGACGUGCAUUUGAUACUGCGAAGCUUGAGUGCCGGAGAGGUUACUGGAAUACCUGGUGUAGUGGUGAAAUACGUAGAUAUCAGGUGGAACACCGGAGGCGAAGGCGGGUAACUGGCCGGACACUGACACUCAGACCCGAAAGCGUGGGGAUCAAACAGGA